CCAACAGUCCUUUUCAGGACUACACACACACUCAAAAAAAAAAAAG
rfam:Strongylocentrotus purpuratus Contig117380_fixed, whole genome shotgun sequence.